rnacentral:tRNA from 1 species
GUGGCUAUGGUGUAAUGGUAGCACAGAAGCUUGUGGAGCUUUUAGCACGGGUUCGAUUCCCGUUAGCCACCCCA